GGUUGGAUCGAUCAAGCAGAAGGAGAACAAGGUGAAACCCUUGUUCUCCAAAUUCAGCAAAUUGAAGAGGAAAUUCAAGGAUAAUCCAAUGCAUGAACUUCGAUUUACACUCAUCUAAACUCGAUUAUUGAAGUGGCGUGAAGGAAGAAGGUACAAGCACUAGGAAAACGGAAGGCACGCAAGACCGAGGUAAAACUCCACUUUAGGCGAUUUGCAUAUAUGGAGCGAGCACGUGUUCAUGCCUUAUUAUACCAAGCGCUUCCGCUAGUUUAUAUGCACACUUUUUGGGUCCAUGUCUUGUUACUUUGUUUGAUCUUGUUAGAAGUCAUACACUGAAAACUUGUUGUCUUAGUUUUAGGAAGUUUAAAGUUGAAAUGGGUCGUAGAUUGUCGUUAGUUUAUUGUGUUAAAAACAGGGGGUACGUUCGUUGUACGAACGGGUCAUGCCCAAUUUUUGUAAGAAUUUCAUUAUGUAUCAAAUUUGGUGUUUUGAUGUC